AAAUUUCUCGCAUUAAAAAGUUGGGGACCGGUUGUAAACUUUAAGGAUGUGUGUUUUGCCGGUUCAUUUACUUCGAGACGUCUGAAUGAAAAAGUAUUCACGGAUUUCAAAACAACCGGAAGAAAGUCUUGUGAACAUGCAGUGGUCAUUCAAAGGACAAACCUGGAGGGUAUGGAACCUCAACAAUAAGUGGAUCUGGAUUGGAUCUGAUGCAAUAAACCUUCCAUUGUGAAAUCGGGGAUCGAUGAUUCGUGAAAUCUGUGAUCGGAAAGCUGUUUUCAGAAUGCAAAUAAUACUUCACACCAACUUGAUUCCGAUAUUUCCAGCGAAA